CCAACCCCGUCUCCAUCAUCCCCAUUCUCCUCAUCCCCAUGGUCUCCACCUCCGUUUCCAACAUCCUCCUCACCCCCAUGGUCUCCAUCCCCGUCUCCAUCAUCCCCAUCCUCAUCCUCAUCCCCAUGGUCUCCAACCCCAUCUCCAUCAUCCCCGUUCUCCUCAUCCCCAUGGUCUCCACCUCCGUUUCCAUCAUCCUCAUCAUCCCCAUGGUCUCCAUCCCCAUCCUCAUACUCAUGUUCUCCAUUUCCAUGGUCUCCAUCAUCCCCAUCCUCCCCAUCCCCAUGGUCUCCAUCCAUCCUCAUCCCCAUCCCCACGGCCCCAUCUCCACCCCACUGCCUCCACCUCUUCUUCCAGGGCCUCCCAGGAGAGAGGGGUCUGGCCGGCCCCGAGGGGAAACCGGGCUUGCCAGGCUUCCCCGGCGUGCUGGGACGCCCGGGCAACCAGGGAGAGCCGGGACCACCAGGACCUCCGGGCACCGCUGGCCCCCCGGGGACCCAGGGCCCAGCUGGGAUGAAGGUACAUCAUCAUCAUCAUCAUCAUCACCAUCACCAUCACCAUCAUCACCAUCACCAUAUUUGACCCCGCAGAGGAACGCGCGGUGCCCUGCAGGCACCAGGGGCUGUGGGGAAAAAUGAGGGGCUGGUCCCCUGCUGGAGCCAGCCGCUGGGGGGCUCAGGGGACAUGGGGACAUGGUGGCAGGGCUGUUGGGGUGGUGGGACCGACGCGGGUGCUGUCUCCACAGGGUGACCCCGGGGAGCCUGGUGCCAGCAUCCGGGUGAGCCUCCACUCCCCCCCACCCGGUCCCUGACCCCAAAUCCCUUCCCAGGGGACAGAUGACGUCCCGGCGAGAUGUCCCAGCGU
rnacentral:lncRNA from 1 species